CGCUUCGGCGUGUGACUGCGUACCUUUUGUAUAAUGGGUCAGCGACUUAUAUUCUGUAGCAAGGUUAACCGAAUAGGGGAGCCGAAGGGAAACCGAGUCUUAACUGGGCGUUAAGUUGCAGGGUAUAGACCCGAAACCCGGUGAUCUAGCCAUGGGCAGGUUGAAGGUUGGGUAACACUAACUGGAGGACCGAACCGACUAAUGUUGAAAAAUUAGCGGAUGACUUGUGGCUGGGGGUGAAAGGCCAAUCAAACCGGGAGAUAGCUGGUUCUCCCCGAAAGCUAUUUAGGUAGCGCCUCGUGAAUUCAUCUCCGGGGGUAGAGCACUGUUUCGGCAAGGGGGUCAUCCCGACUUACCAACCCGAUGCAAACUGCGAAUACCGGAGAAUGUUAUCACGGGAGACACACGGCGGGUGCUAACGUCCGUCGUGAAGAGGGAAACAACCCAGACCGCCAGCUAAGGUCCCAAAGUCAUGGUUAAGUGGGAAACGAUGUGGGAAGGCCCAGACAGCCAGGAUGUUGGCUUAGAAGCAGCCAUCAUUUAAAGAAAGCGUAAUAGCUCACUGGUCGAGUCGGCCUGCGCGGAAGAUGUAACGGGGCUAAACCAUGCACCGAAGCUGCGGCAGCGACACUAUGUGUUGUUGGGUAGGGGAGCGUUCUGUAAGCCUGUGAAGGUGUACUGUGAGGUAUGCUGGAGGUAUCAGAAGUGCGAAUGCUGACAUAAGUAACGAUAAAGCGGGUGAAAAGCCCGCUCGCCGGAAGACCAAGGGUUCCUGUCCAACGUUAAUCGGGGCAGGGUGAGUCGACCCCUAAGGCGAGGCCGAAAGGCGUAGUCGAUGGGAAACAGGUUAAUAUUCCUGUACUUGGUGUUACUGCGAAGGGGGGACGGAGAAGGCUAUGUUGGCCGGGCGACGGUUGUCCCGGUUUAAGCGUGUAGGCUGGUUUUCCAGGCAAAUCCGGAAAAUCAAGGCUGAGGCGUGAUGACGAGGCACUACGGUGCUGAAGCAACAAAUGCCCUGCUUCCAGGAAAAGCCUCUAAGCAUCAGGUAACAUCAAAUCGUACCCCAAACCGACACAGGUGGUCAGGUAGAGAAUACCAAGGCGCUUGAGAGAACUCGGGUGAAGGAACUAGGCAAAAUGGUGCCGUAACUUCGGGAGAAGGCACGCUGAUAUGUAGGUGAAGUCCCUCGCGG
rnacentral:rRNA from 1 species